rnacentral:rRNA from 1 species
UACGAAGGGGGCUAGCGUUGCUCGGAAUCACUGGGCGUAAAGCGCACGUAGGCGGCUUUCUAAGUCAGGGGUGAAAUCCUGGAGCUCAACUCCAGAACUGCCUUUGAUACUGGAAAGCUUGAGUUCGGGAGAGGUGAGUGGAACUGCGAGUGUAGAGGUGAAAUUCGUAGAUAUUGGGAAGAACACCGAUGGCGAAGGCAGCCAUCUGGACCGACACUGACGCUGAGGCGCGAAAGCGUGGGGAGCAAACAGG